GACGAACGCUGGCGGCGUGCCUAAUACAUGCAAGUCGAGCGCAGGAAACUGACGGAACUCUUCGGAGGGAAGGCAGUGGAAUGAGCGGCGGACGGGUGAGUAACACGUAAGGAACCUGCCUCAAGGAUUGGGAUAACUCCGAGAGAUCGGAGCUAAUACCGGAUAGUUCAACGGACCGCAUGGUCCGCUGAUGAAAGGCGCUCCGGCGUCACCUUGAGAUGGCCUUGCGGUGCAUUAGCUAGUUGGUGGGGUAACGGCCCACCAAGGCGACGAUGCAUAGCCGACCUGAGAGGGUGAUCGGCCACACUGGGACUGAGACACGGCCCAGACUCCUACGGGAGGCAGCAGUAGGGAAUCUUCCACAAUGGACGAAAGUCUGAUGGAGCAACGCCGCGUGAGUGAUGAAGGUUUUCGGAUCGUAAAACUCUGUUGUAAGGGAAGAACACGUACGAGAGGAGAUGCUCGUACCUUGACGGUACCUUACGAGAAAGCCACGGCUAACUACGUGCCAGCCGCCGCGGUAA
rnacentral:rRNA from 1 species